CAUGAACCUGGCAUACAAUGUAGAUUUCUGUGUUUGUUGAACAACAGCUACAUUGUCUGCUGGGUUUCAG
rnacentral:pre_miRNA from 13 species